rnacentral:rRNA from 1 species
GACGAACGCUGGCGGCGUGCUUAACACAUGCAAGUCGAACGGAAAGGCCCUGCUUUUGUGGGGUGCUCGAGUGGCGAACGGGUGAGUAACACGUGAGUAACCUGCCCUUGACUUUGGGAUAACUUCAGGAAACUGGGGCUACUACCGGAUAGGAGCUCUGCUGCGUGGUGGGGGUGGGGAAGUUUCGGCGGUUGGGGAUGGACUCGCGGGUUAUCAGCUUGUUGGGGGGGUAGUGGCUUAACAAGGCUUUGACGGGUCGCCGGCCUGGGAGGGUGAACGGGCACCAUGGGACUGAGAGACGGACCAGUGUCCAACGGGAGGCAGUAGGGGGGAAUAUGACCCAAUGGGACGAAGUCUGAUGCGAAGACGCCCGGGUUGGGAAGACCGUCUUUGGGGUGUAAACCGCUUUCGCCUGUGACGAAGCGUGAGUGACGGUAAUGGGUAAAGAAGCACCGGCUAACUACGUG